rnacentral:rRNA from 1 species
GACGAACGCUGGCGGCGUGCUUAACACAUGCAAGUCGAACGGUGAUGCUCCAGCUUGCUGGAGUGGAUCAGUGGCGAACGGGUGAGUAACACGUGAGCAACCUGCCCCAGACUCUGGAAUAAGCGCUGGAAACGGCGUCUAAUACUGGAUACGAAACUGGCCCGCAUGGGCAUGGUUUGGAAAGUUUUUCGGUUUGGGAUGGGCUCGCGGCCUAUCAGCUUGUUGGUGAGGUAAUGGCUCACCAAGGCGACGACGGGUAGCCGGCCUGAGAGGGCGACCGGCCACACUGGGACUGAGACACGGCCCAGACUCCUACGGGAGGCAGCAGUGGGGAAUAUUGCACAAUGGGCGAAAGCCUGAUGCAGCGACGCCGCGUGAGGGAUGACGGCCUUCGGGUUGUAAACCUCUUUCAGCAGGGAAGAGGCGAAAGUGACGGUACCUGCAGAAGAAGCACCGGCUAACUACGUG